AUUGAACGCUGGCGGCAGGCCUAACACAUGCAAGUCGAGCGGAGCGGCGGACGGGUGCGUAAUGCCUAGGAAUCUGCCUGGUCGUUGGGGAUAACGUCCGGAAACGGGCGCUAAUACCGCAUACUCUCCGAUUAGCCUAGGUCGUAUUAGCUAGUUGGUGGGGUAAAGGCCUACCACGGCGACGAUCCGUAACUGGUCUGAGAGGAUGAUCAGUCACACUGCAACUGAGACACGGGCCAGACUCCAACGGGAGGCAGCAGUGGGGAAUGUUGGAAAAUGGGCGAAAGCCUGAUCCAGCCAUGCCGCGUGUGUGAAGAAGGUAUUCGGAUUGUAAAGCACUUUAAGUUGGGAGGCGUUACCAACAGAAUAAGCACCGGCUAACUUCGUGCCAGCAGCCGCGGUAAUUC
rnacentral:rRNA from 1 species